UACGGAGGGUGCGAGCGUUGUCCGGAAUCACUGGGCGUAAAGGGCGCGUAGGUGGCUCACGCAAGCGUGCGGUGAAAGCCCGGGGCUUAACCCCGGGUCUGCAUUCGAUACGGGCUAGCUAGAGUGUGGUAGGGGAGAUCGGAAUUCCUGGUGUAGCGGUGAAAUGCGCAGAUAUCAGGAGGAACACCGGUGGCGAAGGCGGGUCUCUGGGCAACAACUGACGCUGAGGAGCGAAAGCGUGGGGAGCGAACAGG
rnacentral:rRNA from 1 species